rnacentral:snoRNA from 1 species
AGCCUCCAGACCCGCCCCGUCAGAUCUAAACGCUGGUCUGAGUGGUUAUAAAACGAGGAAAUGUAAAACUGAAACAACGUAAUUCUUUUGUGAUACACCAGCUCGCUUCAAACAAAG